rnacentral:rRNA from 1 species
AAACCAACUGGGAUUACCUUAGUAACGGCGAGUGAAGCGGUAAAAGCUCAAAUUUGAAAUCUGGUACUUUCAGUGCCCGAGUUGUAAUUUGUAGAAUUUGUCUUUGAUUAGGUCCUUGUCUAUGUUCCUUGGAACAGGACGUCAUAGAGGGUGAGAAUCCCGUUUGGCGAGGAUACCUUUUCUUUGUAAGACUCUUUCGAAGAGUCGAGUUGUUUGGGAAUGCAGCUCAAAGUGGGUGGUAAAUUCCAUCUAAAGCUAAAUAUUGGCGAGAGACCGAUAGCGAACAAGUACAGUGAUGGAAAGAUGAAAAGAACUUUGAAAAGAGAGUGAAAAAGUACGUGAAAUUGUUGAAAGGGAAGGGCAUUUGAUCAGACAUGGUGUUUUUGCAUGCACUCGCCUCUCGUGGGCUUGGGCCUCUCAAAAAUUUCACUGGGCCAACAUCAAUUCUGGCAGCAGGAUAAAUCAUUAAGAAUGUAGCUACUUCGGUAGUGUUAUAGCUUUUUGGAAUACUGUUAGCCGGGAUU